CGAACGACUCUCGGCAACGGAUAUCUCGGCUCUCGCAUCGAUGAAGAACGUAGCGAAAUGCGAUACUUGGUGUGAAUUGCAGAAUCCCGUGAACCAUCGAGUCUUUGAACGCAAGUUGCGCCCGAUGCCUUUAGGUUGAGGGCACGUCUGCUUGGGCGUCAUGC
rnacentral:rRNA from 1 species